CCCCUCGCUCCGGGCCCAGUGACUCAGCAUCUCACGCAGCCCAGCACUGCUCUGCAGGCUGUAGGCGUGCGCUCCGGCUUUUCCGCCCACCGCCAGUACAUUCCACUCAGCCCCCCAUGGCAGCCCACGCUCCACGGUCACCCUUGUCGGGCAGGCUCAAAUCAAGGCCUAAUCCGGCCAUAUACUCUUGCCUCAGCUUCCUCAUCUUUAGGACGAGUCCUGAGUUCAAAUCCCAGCAAACACAUCCGUAAGGAGAUCCGACUCCUUCUUCUGGAGUGUCUGAAGACAGCUAGAGUGUACUUACAUAUAGUAAAUAAAUUCUUAAAAAAAAAAAAAAGUUCUGCUGAAUUGAAUACAUGAAUGAAUGAAAGAAGCAAGCGGAUCUGGCACGAGAAACUCCGCCUCUGCCCUUCAAGUCACUUCCGAACAGAAGCCAGCCAAGGUUCAUCGCAAGUGGCCACACUUGUGUUACAGAGAGGCCAGCA
ensembl:lincRNA Gm12762 predicted gene 12762